CGGAGGAUGGGCGUGGCCUCCAGAGGAGGGCAGGUACAAGCUUCUGGGUCUGCUUUCCAGCAGAGGAUUAUGGAACGUAACCUGGGGCCUCUGUCUGGACCAGAUGUUUCCAGGGUCUCCAUGUCUUGUCCAAAUGAAUUGAAGGAGCUCACACAAGUAACAAAGUAGCAAAAGGUUCUGUUCAAAGAUAACAUGAGCUGUGGAGGGGCUGCAAGAAGCCGUGGAGCCUGGGCAAGCAUGGGACUCAAGUAACACCAGUCACUGCCUCGCGCUUCUAUCAUGGCUUCAGGAAGAGAAGAGGAGGGUUAUGGCAGGAACAAAGAACUGCUGGAGUUGGAAGACCCAGUAGCUGAGCUGCCUGGGGAAGAGUCUCCUCCCUGUCAAGUUGCCUGAAAGUCCUUCAGAGAGCUCCAGGAUUACAGCAUUGGUAAAUGGUCACCCAUAUUGAGUGGGCUUUUUCAGUGAUGUGGCUACCUUGGAGUUAUCCAUGAUUCCAUAAGUAACCCAUAAACUCCCUGGUUCACCCGCUCUUCUACAAUCAGUUCUUUAGUCUGUCAUGGGUUCACUAUCUGGGGCAAGCAAACAUGUAAGUUAUCUUUCCAGGAAUUCCAGGCUCAGAGCCUUGGACAAACUUACCCCAUUUCUAGUUUGUCCUCUCUGCUUGGUGCUUAUGGCUUCUCGGUUUGCCACUCUAGCCAUGUGCUGACAAUGCCUCCCUCACUGUUAUGGACUCUCCUUUUGAAACCAUGAACCCAAAUAAACUCUUUCUUCCACAGUGUUUUAAUC